CUCGCGCUGCCUGUGGACUCUCAGAGCGACCCCCCAGUGCCUGUGGCUGUACAGAGCCACCUCCCAGUCCCUCUAGCUUCCCAGAGCCAGCUCCAGAAUCUUUCUCAGGCCUCUCAAACUCAGCCUCCACCUGUGCAGGUUUCCCAAGCCCAGGCUGGGGCCACCCUGCUCUCUUUGAUUCAGCUUCUGCCCACCCAGCCUUUUCAGACCCAGCCUAUGGACUUGCAGGUCGGCCCAGCUGUUCAUGACUGGCAGGCCCUGGAUCACACCCAGCAGGCCCCCCAGAGCCGCUCUUGGGUUCAAGAGAUUGCUCCAGGCCAGGCUUCAUCUGCCCAGGAGUUUCAUAAGCAGCCGGGGGCUCAGGCUUUUGAGAGUCUGCCACCAGCCAGCCAGAAGCUAAGUCAAGAUCACCCUGACCCCACAUCCCCACUCCCAGAGGCCCCAGUUCCAGCCACUCAGGCCCAGCAGUCAGUGCCCCCCGAGAGUGCGCCCACCCCAGCCUCGGAGAAGAAAAGUCACCCCCUCUAGCACAGAACCAGACCCCAGCCAUCCGAGUGGCUGCUCAGGCCUCUGCCAAAACUCACCAAAGUGUCUGCAGCUUUAAGUGCCAACUUUAUAAGAGCACAAAUGCUUACCUUAAUCUUGUUUUGGAAACGUCCAUCUGGAGACCUGACCUUUCUCAGACCAACAGACUUACCGGACUCCCUCUGCCAAGGAUCCAUGUUGCAGUGUUGAAGAGAGUUUUCCAGCUUCAGAUAGUGAAGUUAGUUAUUGCCAGGAUGGCGAGCCAUAAUAAACUGUGCAAUUCCAACGAACUUUGUUUUAGAAUAAGUUGGUUUUUUAAAUAGACUUCUCUUGUGAAAGGGUGCCAGCAUUCCAAAUGGAAAAUAAUGUCUCCAGUACUCUGGGUGAAGAUGUCAGUAUGUACAGUUCCCAGAGAAAUGGGCACUGAAAAAUGCAACAACUUUUAUUUAAGGUAACUUUGUGACCUCAUUAGCUAUCAGAAAGGUUAGCACAAUGAAUGCAUUAUAACAUGCUACAAUUUAUAUUUUUUAUAUCUUCACUUGAUUUAAGUAACAUCUGAAUUUCCCUUUUUCCCAAGGAUUUAAAAUCUAAUUUGACUGUGUAUUUUAAUGAGAAUCAAAUAAAAUUCUUUUGGGACUGCG